UGUGCCAGCAGCCGCGGUAAUUCCAGCUCCAAUAGCGUAUAUUAAAGUUGUUGCAGUUAAAAAGCUCGUAGUUGAACCUUGGGCCUGGCUGGCCGGUCCGCCUCACCGCGUGCACUGGUCCGGCCGGGCCUUUCCUCCUGGGGAGCCGCAUGCCCUUCACUGGGUGUGUCGGGGAACCAGGACUUUUACUUUGAAAAAAUUAGAGUGUUCAAAGCAGGCCUAUGCUCGAAUACAUUAGCAUGGAAUAAUAGAAUAGGACGUGUGGUUCUAUUUUGUUGGUUUCUAGGACCGCCGUAAUGAUUAAUAGGGAUAGUCGGGGGCAUCAGUAUUCAAUUGUCAGAGGUGAAAUUCUUGGAUUUAUUGAAGACUAACUACUGCGAAAGCAUUUGCCAAGGAUGUUUUCAUUAAUCAGUGAACGAAAGUUAGGGGAUCGAAGGCGAUCAGAUACCGUCGUAGUCUUAACCAUAAACUAUGCCGACUAGGGAUCGGGCGAUGUUAUCUUUUUGACUCGCUCGGCACCUUACGAGAAAUCAAAGUUUUUGGGUUCUGGGGGGAGUAUGGUCGCAAGGCUGAAACUUAAAGAAAUUGACGGAAGGGCACCACCAGGAGUGGAGCCUGCGGCUUAAUUUGACUCAACACGGGGAAACCCACCAGUCCAGACACAAUAAAGAUUGACAGAUUGAGAGCUCUUUCUUGAUUUUGUGGGUGGUGGUGCAUGGCCGUUCUUAGUUGGUGGAGUGAUUUGUCUGCUUAAUUGCGAUAACGAACGAGACCUUAACCUGCUAAAUAGCCCGGCUAGCUUUGGCUGGUCG
rnacentral:rRNA from 1 species